UUUUCUCAACUUAGUGGCGAACGGGUGAGUAACGCGUAGGCAACCUGCCCUUUAGACGGGGACAACAUUCCGAAAGGAGUGCUAAUACCGGAUGUGAUCAUCGUGCCGCAUGGCAGGAUGAAGAAAGAUGGCCUCUACAAGUAAGCUAUCGCUAAAGGAUGGGCCUGCGUCUGAUUAGCUAGUUGGUAGUGUAACGGACUACCAAGGCGAUGAUCAGUAGCCGGUCUGAGAGGAAGGUCCCCACAUUGGAACUGAGACACGGUCCAAACUCC
rnacentral:rRNA from 1 species